rnacentral:rRNA from 1 species
UACGUAGGGUGCGAGCGUUAAUCGGAAUUACUGGGCGUAAAGCGUGCGCAGGCGGUGAUGUAAGACCGAUGUGAAAUCCCCGGGCUUAACCUGGGAACUGCAUUGGUGACUGCAUUGCUGGAGUAUGGCAGAGGGGGGUGGAAUUCCACGUGUAGCAGUGAAAUGCGUAGAGAUGUGGAGGAACACCGAUGGCGAAGGCAGCCCCCUGGGCUGACACUGACGCUGAGGCACGAAAGCGUGGGGAGCAAACAGG